ACUUGAUCCAAAAAUAAUUACUCAAUCAAAUUGAGUUAAUUAGUGAUCAAAUCACUAAUUAAAUCUCUCAUAAAUACUGAAUCCAAAUCCGAUGGGCAAUCGGGUAUCAAAGUCCAUCGAUAUGAAACCUUGAUCGAAGAGUCCCAAACCAGUGGGACUCUUGAUCCCGAUACCCAAAAUGUGUGAAACUCAUGAUCAGAGAAUCUUGAUUCUCGAUCACAGAGUCCUAGACACAUAGGACUCAUAGUCUACAAGCAUUAGGACUCUUCAUCAGCCAUCAGAUCAGAUAGGAACUUCUAAUGUGUGUGACCCCGCAGGUUCGAACCUAAGUCGGUAGCACAGGAAUCAAUUCCUGUACUAAUCGAAGUGACCAUCUAGCAAUGGUACCCGAUGUCCGAAUAGGUCGAAUAGUCGUAAUCACAACAUUCAGAACCUACAUGAAUAUGGUUACUAUAUAAUUCAUCCCUUUUGAUCCCUAUGUAUAGGAUGAAUCAGGGUUAAACUGUCAACCCUGAUUUGAUCAUCCGAAUCAUGCUCAAAUCAAACAGUCCUGUGACUCCUCACUAGGACUACCCUGGCCAAGGUUUUGCUAAAUUGAAAUACGACUGUACACAGCUCCUGAACUGGAGUGGUCAAUCCCAUCUUGACACAUGCACCGACAAGUCAAGUACUUGACUACACCCAGCAGCCUUCCGUCACUGAAUUAGAAAUUCAAGUAGUCCAGUGCCUAAGUACAGUGAGUUGCUUGCAAGUCACCAUGGCGGUCUCN
rnacentral:lncRNA from 1 species